rnacentral:misc_RNA from 1 species
AAGUCGUAACAAGGUUUCCGUAGGUGAACCUGCGGAAGGAUCAUUGAAAAAGUGAAAGAAAAAAAAUUUAAUUUUUUUUCCCUUCCCGGGGAAAGGAUUUUCGCCUUCUAAAAAUUUCGGCUGAUGGAAUGGUUGUGCUGCCGCAUGCCACCGCGAGAAAACUUUUUCUUGCGCUGUUCAGCGUGUUGCCUCCACCGAAAAAUUGACACAACUUUUAACAAUGGAUCUCUUGGCUCUC